GAUGAACGCUGGCGGCGUGCCUAAUACAUGCAAGUCGAGCGAACGGACGAGAAGCUUGCUUCUCUGAUGUUAGCGGCGGACGGGUGAGUAACACGUGGAUAACCUACCUAUAAGACUGGGAUAACUUCGGGAAACCGGAGCUAAUACCGGAUAAUAUUUUGAACCGCAUGGUUCAAAAGUGAAAGACGGUCUUGCUGUCACUUAUAGAUGGAUCCGCGCUGCAUUAGCUAGUUGGUAAGGUAACGGCUUACCAAGGCAACGAUGCAUAGCCGACCUGAGAGGGUGAUCGGCCACACUUGAACUGAGACACGGUCCAGACUCCUACGGGAGGCAGCAGUAGGGAAUCUUCCGCAAUGGGCGAAAGCCUUACGGAGCAACGCCGCGUGAGUGAUGAAGGUCUUCGGAUCGUAAAACUCUGUUAUUAGGGAAGAACAUAUGUGUAAGUAACUGUGCACAUCUUGACGGUACCUAAUCAGAAAGCCACGGCUAACUACGU
rnacentral:rRNA from 1 species